rnacentral:rRNA from 1 species
GAUGAACGCUGGCGGCGUGCCUAAUACAUGCAAGUCGAGCGAACAGACGAGGAGCUUGCUCCUCUGACGUUAGCGGCGGACGGGUGAGUAACACGUGGAUAACCUACCUAUAAGACUGGGAUAACUUCGGGAAACCGGAGCUAAUACCGGAUAAUAUAUUGAACCGCAUGGUUCAAUAGUGAAAGACGGUUUUGCUGUCACUUAUAGAUGGAUCCGCGCCGCAUUAGCUAGUUGGUAAGGUAACGGCUUACCAAGGCAACGAUGCGUAGCCGACCUGAGAGGGUGAUCGGCCCCACUGGAACUGAGACCCGGUCCAGACUCCUACGGGAGGCAGCAGUAGGGAAUCUUCCGCAAUGGGCGAAAGCUUGACGGAGCAACGCCGCGGGAGUGAUGAAGGUCUUCGGAUCGUAAAACUUUUUUAUUAGGGAAGAAAAAAUGUGUAAGUAACUAUGCACGUUUUGACGGUACCUAAUCAGAAAGCCACGGCUAACUACGU